AUAAUUCAUAUUGAUAUGAACGAAUGGUUCCUCGGAGCCACAAAUACCAUCAAAGCAGCACAAGUCUUGCUGCUGUUCCAGGUUUUGCGACCAACAGACGUGAACCCUUGAUUUGAAGCUGGUUCAUGUGUUAGCACAAACGAACAUGCUAUAUAUUGUCGAGUCCAGAUGAACGAAGACGAGAAAAAAAGAGAGAGGUAGAAGAUGCUGGAGGCAUUGUUAGCAAAGAAAAAGGAAUUCCGUGGUUUAAGACUUAGCAACUGGCUAGCAGCUUAUGCGAUCUAUCAACUUGAGUAAUUUUACAGAUGAAACUGCAUGAUUUGAGUGAAUCUACCACAUCAGAACUGGGAUGACAAGGUGCAAGAAAGAGACUACCAGUUGCAGGCUUGCAGCUGUACAUGUACUGUCAUAUGAUUGACAUGGGCAAAAUAAAUAGCCCAGCCAGGCCUAAGGAGGAGGAGGAGGGGAAAGAGGAAGGAGAAAGAAGAAGAGCCCAUCCAAGGCCCAAUAUGACAGCCCCAGCCCGACCGGAGAGGAAGAAGAGAAAAGAAAAAAAAGAAGAAGAGGGAGGGAAGGGCCCAAUUUAGCAACUUGUUGGGCCAAAUGGCCUAGACUUCGUCCAAGAUUUGAGAGAACGAAAACAAAACAUUUCAGCCUCGAACAAGCUUAUUUUUUUGGUGCUGUGCAGUCGAGGAAAGCAAACUGGCCUCUAAAGAAGAAGAUAAGGACACUUCGAUUGAGACCAAAGCAAACAAUUGGGACCAAUCAGAUUGUCCAGCGGCUGUGGUGAAAUCUAACUACAGUAAAUCGUGUUAUAACGUGUUGCGACGAGUACAUAUAUAGUCAUGCCAUAGUCUGAACCCUCAUAUCUUCCCCUAUCGAUUGUUUUUCGAGCAUCCUCGCUCGAUUUCGUGGAGACAUUGUUUAUCUCUCUCACUCUGUCUCAUACACUACUUCAUCAAAUACCAGCCAAUUCAAUGGAAGGUACUUCAUCUGAGCUUGUCGGAGGUGAUCAUAAUGAUCAAACUGUCCAACCGUCAGCUGAAGAAAUUAGAAAAGAAAAGAGACGGCAAAGAGACAACAGACGUAAGAAGAGAGAGCAGCGAGAGAUAGAACGCACUCAGAGAGAGUUGGAAAAGAUGAAAGCAGAUUAUGCUAAGUUGGAGAAAAACCAUGCCUACUUAAGAGGAAAACUGGAACAGUUGGAACACGAUGUGGAGCAAACUAGAGAAACUCGUAGGCGACUGGAGCAAAUAGUUGAACAACAGAAUAUUAUGAUCAACAUGCUUCAGAUAUUUACUUACUUUUGAUGACGAGGCAUUCGUUGCCGAGGCAAGGGUUACCUGUCCCUCAAGGGUGGGCGCAUGAGAACAAUAGUGAGCAGCCUGGCUCAACUUAUGGUGAUCAGUUCUGUAAUUUUAAUGGCUGCUCGAGGAUAAGUACUGGGAUGGAAGCAACAAUAUCAUAGACGAGUGUUAUUUGAGUUAUGAAUGUCGGCAUGUACUAGUAAUGCUGCUGGGAAGACAAAGAUUUUCAUUUAUCAGAAUCUCGUACUAUAAUCUAUGGGUGUUUUUUGAAGUUUUUCAAUAAGAUAUAUUUGUAAACAAUUGAUUGAAUAAUUGCUUGAUUAUUAUAACUUGAAUUGUUCAUUCCUCCCAA